AUUGAACGCUGGCGGCAUGCUUUACACAUGCAAGUCGAACGGUAACAGGUUAAGCUGACGAGUGGCGAACGGGUGAGUAAUGCAUCGGAACGUGCCCGGUCGUGGGGGAUAACGCAGCGAAAGCUGCGCUAAUACCGCAUACGAUCUGAGGAUGAAAGCGGGGGACCGUAAGGCCUCGCGCGAUCGGAGCGGCCGAUGUCAGAUUAGGUAGUUGGUGGGGUAAAGGCUCACCAAGCCGACGAUCUGUAGCUGGUCUGAGAGGACGACCAGCCACACUGGGACCGAGACACGGCCCAGACUCCUACGGGAGGCAGCAGUGGGGAAUUUUGGACAAUGGGCGCAAGCCUGAUCCAGCAAUGCCGCGUGCAGGAAGAAGGCCUUCGGGUUGUAAACUGCUUUUGUACGGAGCGAAAAAGCUCUCUCUAAUACAGGGGGCUCAUGACGGUACCGUAAGAAUAAGCACCGGCUAACUACGUGCCAGCCGCCGCAGUAAGAC
rnacentral:rRNA from 1 species